UUCUGUCCGGACUCACCUUUAGUUUUCUGCGGGGAGGGAAUGCUUCUGUGGUGAGGAGCAGUCCUUGGGUGAACUACCCCUUGCAAUUCAAAGUGGUGCAACCCAAACAAACAGUCUUUUUCUUCUCUCUCUCUCCCCUUCCCCCCACUUCAAUAAAAGGCCUCAGGUUGUGUGAAGGUCAGUAAUUAGGCCUCUUCAAUGCUUCCUGGCCUGGCUUGGGGAUAGAUAGCCUCAAAUCCUUCAAGUUUCAGCCAUUUCAACCUGCCUGGCCUGGGGAGAGCUAGUUGCAGGACUAGGCCUCAAAUCCUUCAAGUUUCAGCCACUUCAACCUUCCUUGUCUGUCUGAGGAGAGAUAGUUGGAGAACUAGGCCUCAAAUCUUUCAAGUUUCGGCCACUUCAACCUUCCUGGCCUGGCCUGGGGAGAGCUCUUUGGAGGACUAGGCCUCAAAUCCUUCAACUGUUGUGGCCGCUUCACCCCCUUCCUUGCCUGGAAGGACUGUUGGGAGGAGCAGGCCUCAAAUCCUUCAACUGCUCCAUGUCUUUACUUCAAGGAAUUUGAGCUGCUGGCUGAGUCCUCUUCAGUCAGUUUCCUGUGAGUAAGGAGGCUGCUGCUCCUGGAUCCUCUCAACUGCUCAUUGCCACCAUAACACCUGCCAUGAACUCCCCACCUGAGUUAGGACAGAAUAUGCGAAACUCAGGGCUGCCCAGUAAAAUGAAUUGACAGCAGGUUCCAAAGUGAUAGAAUAGAGUGAUCCUUCACACAAUACAUAAUUCUGGAAUUGGUUACCACAGAAUGUGUCGAUAGCCACUAGCUUACCUGGCUUUUAAACAGGAUUAAACAAAUUCAUGGGGGCUACGUCUAUUCACAAUUAUUCCCUAUGGCAGCUAAAUCAAACCUCCAUGUCUAGAUACAAUAUACUCCUGAAUACUAGAUGUUGAGAACAAACUAUUAACACCAUAAUGAACUGCUUCUAGUUACUCAGAGAGGCAUUUGGCUGGCCAGCCGGCUGGUGGCUGCGGUGCUGCUACUGCUCAAAAGAGAAUGCUGGGUUGUAUUGAGCUUUGGUCUGACAUGGUAGAACAUGUUCUAAUAAUAAUUUGGAGAUACUGUUAAGAGACAUUAUGUGCUAGUUUCUGAGCCAGUUGUGUGAGUUGCACAUCUAUUUAUCAGUAGUCUUUAAUGUGCACAACUGUAAAUGGACCCAAAAAGGUGCUGGUAGACUCACUCACAAACUUCUGGACUUUAAUCAGCCACAAGCCCUGCCAGGAUUCAGAGUAAUUUCCUAACUAUGAAUCAACCUGAUGACAAUGAAUCACACACUGGAAAAGAAUGCCAAAUAAAACAAGCCAUCACAUAUAGCUUGUAUAGAGCAGCCUAUGGAAAAGCUUUUGAUCCACUCCACCAAAACAGCAACAGUGAUGAAAGUAGAGAAAAGCAGGAACAGAAGAAUCCCAAACCACAUCUGUGAGUGUUGUGUAGUGAUAUUUAAGCCUGACAAAGAUUAAAGAAAGCAAGAUGGUCCUUCCAAGAAGACAUCAUGUGACUUGGAAAAAUACUCAUUUGAGUAUUUCAUAGAAUACUCUGAGCAGAAAAUAUACAGUGCUGAUAAAAAGGGCAUCCUGCUUUAAUGGGAAAUGUCUUGCCUUAAAUCAGAUUCAAGCUAAAAACACAACCACUUGCUGAUAAAUUCCAAUAGUCACCUGAAAUUCUGGUGUUCCCAUUAUACAAGUAUACUUCAUUUAUAACAAGGCAGUGAAGGAGUGACAGUUUGUAGGUGAUGCAGUUGCUAUAUUGUGCAAUCAUUGCCCUAAAAUGGACUAAAACCCUGCCUGCUGCCAGAAGCGGAUUUAGGGGAGUACAACUGGUUUUCCCACCAUGGGUGCCAAGCUGAAAGGGCACCACAGGGGGCACUGCAACAAUGACAAACAGUGGAAGGUGAGAGGCAGUGGGGAACUGAAUUUUGGUGUCGCACAGGGUGCCUCUAAAAUUUGAAAGCCCAAAGUCCAUCACUACUGCUGCUGCCUAGUCCCUUGGUUGUGGAUUAUGGUAGCAGCAGUUUGAACUCAUACACCAUUUUCAUUUUUCCACAAAGCCCUAAAGUGCCCAACUUAGCAUUGCUCUGGAGCACUGUGAGAAAGUUAAAAGUGGCAGUCAGCUUCCCAGACCCAGCCACUGCUUCCUGGAAAACUCAUAACUGAGGGAUCAAGUAGGCAGGUAGGCUGGCAAGUAGGCAGCCAUCCCAGGGCACUUUUCUAGAAAGGGGUCUAUACUCUAGAAGCAGCCUUACACUAAAUAUUACUGUAUGUUUUAUGAAAUGCAUGGGCUUUGUUUUGAAAUUACUGAAACGAUUCACAUAGAAAUAAAUAGUCUGUAUCUCUCA